UUUUCUCAGGGUGUUCUUUGGUUUUCCCCCUCAGGCUUGCUCAGAAUCCUGGCUGUGGAAAAUGUGAACUUCCUGGGAGUGGAAGACACAACAGGCUCCCUCUUCCUGUUCUCUGGAAGGGCCUGCAGUGAGGGAGCCAGACAGCCACAUGGAGAGGUCACACUUAGGUGACCUGACCAGCCAUUCCAGCAGAGGGGAUCCCGGCUGACAGCUGCUGCCCACCGCCAGAGAGGUUUGUCAAGGAGAAGACUGCUUCCAGUUCAGUCCUCUUUACCCUGACAUGUAAAUUUUUUCCCCUCAGAUACUUAAAGGAUUUGAAACUUUAUCCCUGACAUCCUGAAAUUUUACCAGGGGAGAUUUAUAUAUGGUUCCUCUUACAUCUGUAGUGCUUGGUCCUCCGUGGGACCUUCUACCCCUAAGAUUAAAGAUAACUGUCCAUCUCUCACAUUUCCCACGUGAUUCAUCUUCUCCUCCUUCUUCUGGAAUAGCGCUGGGGAGGUUGUUUUGAAAUGGAGGCUUUUGGUGCAGCCACUCUGGAAAACAGUAUGGAGGUUCCUCAAAAAGAUGAAAAUAGAGCUACCCUGUAACCCACAAUUUCACUGCUGGGUAUUUACCCCAAAGAUACA